UAUAGAUACUUUAACAAUAUUAAUUCUUUCUAUUCAUAAACAUGGGAUAUCUUUCCAUCUAUUUGUGUCUUCUUCUAUUUCUUCAUCAAUGUCUUACAGUUUUCAGUAUAAAGACCUUUCAUUUCUUUGGUUAAAUUCAUUCCUAAGUACUUUUUAAUGUUAUUGUAAAUAAGAUUGUUUCUUUGGUUUUGUUUUCAGAUACUUCAUUGUUAGUAUAUAGAAACACUACUAUUUUUUAUGUUGGUUUCUUAUUUUGCAACUUUACUGAAUUUGUUUAUUAGUUCUAAUAAUUUUUUGCUGGCAUCUUUAGGGUUUUCUAUGUAUGAGAUGCCAUCUGCAGAAACCAUUUUACUUCUUCAUUUCUGAUUUGGAUGCCUUUUAUUUCUUUUUCUUGUCUAAUUGCUCUGUGUUGAAUAGAAGUGGCAAGAGUGAGCAUUCUUGUCUUGUUGCUGAUAUUAGGGGUAAAGCUUUCAGCUUUUCAUUAUUGAUUAUGAUUGUCAGUUGUGAGCUUGUCAUACAUGGCCUUCUAUACCUAAUUUGUUGAGAAUUUUUAUCAUGAAAAGAUGCUGAAUUUUUGUCAAAUGCUUUUUCUGCAUCUAUUAAGAUGAUCAUAUGAUUUUUAUCCAUUAUUAUGUUAAUAUGGCAUAUCACUUUUAUUGAUUUGCAUAUGUUUAAACAUCUGUUCAUGCCAGGCACAAAUCUCACUUGAUCGUGGUGUAUGAUCCUUUUAAUGUGCUGCUGAAUUUAAUUUGCUAGUAUUUUGUAGAAGAUUAUUGCAUCUGUGUCCAUCAGGAAUAUUGACCUGUAAUUUUCUUUCCUUGUAGUGUUCUUCUCUGGCUUUGGUAUCAGAGUAAUGCUGGACUUGUAAAAUGAGUUUGUAAUAUUCCUUCCCCUUCAAUGUUCUGGAAGAGUUUGAGAAAGGUUGGCAUUAAUUAUUCUUUAAUUGUUUGGUAGAAUUCAACAGUAAAGCCAGCAGGUCCUAGGCUUUUCUUUGUUGAGAGGUUUUUGGUUACUAAUUCAAUCUCUUUAGUCAUUACUGGUUUGUUAAGAUUUUCUAUUUCUUCACAAUUGAGUCUUGGUGGAUUGCAUGUUUCUAGGUAUGUAUGCGUUUCUUCCAGAUUACACAACUUGUUGUGUGUAACUUUUCCUAAUAGUAUCUGUGAUCCUUCAUAUUUCUGUGGUAUCAGUUGUAAUGUCUUCUCUUUCAUUUCUAAUUUUAUUUGAGCCUUCUUUUUCCUUAGUCUAGCUAAAAGUUUGUCAGUUUUGCUUAUCUUUUCAAAAAACCAGCUCGUUGCUUUAACUAUUACACUUUGCUGCUCUUUAUAGAUAGCGUUGGUUAGAUUCCUUCGCUCUACGUUAGUUCAUUCUUUCUUCAUCUGCUCACCCCCAGUAUUGCUUGCCAAGUGAGGAAUGGUUCCAUCCUUUCAAGGAGAUAAACAAUAAAAUGUAAGAUUAUCUCUGAGUGAGAAAAAAGAUGCUCAAUAAAGAUAUCUGUCAGGUAUUAUUAAAACCCAGAAGAAGAGCAAACCUUGGAUAUAAUUCACUCAGUGUGGGAAGGCUUCCAAGAGAAAGACAUUGAGCUGUUCUUGAAAGACAAACAGAAUUUAGUCUGAUUUCCAUUUGGUGACUGAGGCAAAACGAAAGUCUGAUAUGUUUGGGCAACUUCUUGUAAGUGGCCUAGCAUGAGUACAGCAUAGUUCAUGUAAGGGAACCUGACGAGAGUUCAGGCUAGAGUGUAGGACAGAAGCCAGAUCAUAAACGUGUGUGUGUGUGUGUGUGUGUGUAAAUGUAGAUGUAUGGAUGCAUGCAUGUGCGAUUGUGUGUGUGCACAUGGGUGUUUGCAUGUAUGUGUAUGGGCCCAUAAAUUGAAAGCAGGGAGAGCGAAAAGAGACUUAGAGGAGUGGUCCAGAGAUUUGCUGAGAGCUAGUCUCUAUAGCCCAUACCCUGAUUCCACCCUAGAGAAAAGCACUAGCAUCCAAUAAAAGUCUAUUUUUUCUUUUACUUCAAUAAAGCUAUCUUCAGCACUUCUCAAACUUUACCGUGCACAUAAAUCACCCAGGGAUCUUGUCAAAAUCAUAUUCUGAUACAGCAGGCCCGAGAACGCGCCCUGAGAUUCUGCAACUCUAACAAGCUGCCAGCUGAGGCCAGUGCUGCUGGUCUGGGAACCACAUUUUGAGUAGCAAGAGGCUAGAGCACAUCUGUCCUCCUGUAAACAGUAAAUAGUGAUGAGAAUCCAGGCCUUAGAACCCAAAGAUCUCAUUCACUAGUUGUACAAUUCGGGACCAAAACCUCUCACUUUCUGAGGGUAUUAAUCACCUCAUUUAUAAACUGAUUACUGAACUAGAGAUGAUCUCCAAGUUGCCUUCCCAUUCAUUAAUUUUACAUUAAUUUUUUUAAAUGUAAAUAAUGAAAGAUGAAGUACUGUGGAUUUCCCAGGAAGAAGACAUUCAGAUUAAAAACAUAAACUCAGACACAAAUGUUUGAUUAUACUACUUAAGGCCAUACAAGGCAUCUUUAUGACAUUGUACACAUGGAUCAAAAUAUCACAGGUGCUCCAAAAUAUGUACAACUAUGAUAAAUCAAUUUAAAAAGAAUCAAAUAACAAUAAUAAAGAUCUCAUUAACAAAAAAGUGGCCUCUAGCCUACCAGUUUGCAAUCUUAGCAAUGAACACUGUGCAGCUAUGAAGUUAUUGUCUCUCAGCUCCAAAGCCACCCUUCUAGACCUUACUUGGUCCACAAAUCCCAGCCACUCUCUGCUAGGCUCUGCCAACAGAGGGCGCUAGAGGGAGGCUUCAAGGCUGGGGAAGGAAGAAAGGACUUGUCCUUUCUGUUCCUGUAGUUUCACCCUGACUGCCGCAAUUCCUUUCCAGACAGCAGCUGCAUCCAAUUAGCAGAAGCCACACUGCACUUCAUUCUCCUCUCCAACACCAGCAACUGCCAGCCAGGGCCUGUCUUCAGAGAGCUGAGUUGCAGCUUCAUGGAACCCCUUUUCAAGAUUCUAAGUUAUAAUCAUUCCAAUCUCUUUCCUUUAUUCUCCAAACCCUAGGUAGUACAUGCUUCUCCCUGCAUGUACUACCUCAGUGAUACUUUUCAAAAGCAUUUCAGCCCACCCUGUUAAUAAUUUUUACAUUAAAAUCUCUCUUUUCAAAUAACUGGUAUGAUUUCUGUCUCCUGACUAUCCUAUGACUGAUCUAGACACCUAGACAAAUUGAAAAACUUUAGAAGUCAGAUGUUGAAUUCAACCCCUUAGUUUUACCAGACGAGGAGGCUGAGCCCCAGAAAGGGUCAAUAACUUGCCCAGAACCUCAAUGCUGGCCGAAGACUUGCUGGCACUGCAUUUCUGGUCUCCUGGUUCCAGGCCUGGUGCUUUCACUACUAAACCUCACUGUCCAAGGCCGUGGAGGUACCAGAGAGAAUAAGAAGAGCUUUUCAAAUGCUGUCUUUGAAGUCUAGGAAAAGGAAGAAUGAAGGAAAAAUGAGCCUAUCACCAGGGAAGGGAAAUACCAAAUUAACAAUGUCUCUGGAAUGGUUAUGUUAUUAGAUUCAUUUAAAAUCUGUCUUUAGCAAAAGAAAUUUUAAAAAUACAUUUGGAAAAUUAGAGUGCAGUGGAGUUAUCAAAAAUUACUUUAGUGUGAAGCAGAUAAGGAACUAGUUAGAAAGCUAGAAAUUCAAUCAUCCUUCAAUUUCACUCAACAAGCUCAGUGGCAUAUUAGGGAAAUGACCCUAAUAUACUGAGAUUUUUGAGGAAAUUGAAAACCAGGAUUGCUACUUGCAGAGUAGAGGAGGAGGAGGAGGAGGAAGAGGAGGAAGAGGAGGAAGAGGAGGAGGAGGAGGAGGAGGAGGAGGAGAUUGAAAGGAGGUGGGAUGUGGCGGAGUGGAAGAGACUUUUAGUUGGUGGUAACACAACAAAGGAAAUAGAAUACCCCUCCUUGGAAGAGGGAGGAGCCUGCAGUGACAGGCACCAGGCAAGAAAGAUCCCAAUUCUGAGACUGAGACAUCUGGGCCGUGGUCCUGGCUCCAUCAUUACCACAACAUGACUGUGGGCUGCCCAUUCAGCCUCUCUGACCAUUAUCACAUCUUUGUAAAAUUCAGUGCUCAUCUUCGCAGUUGUUAGGAUUAUAAAGGGGAGUGGAUUUAAAGUAUCUAGCAAAAUGCCUGGCACCAAAGUAAAUGCACAAUUAAUAAAAGCUGCUAUUGAUAUUAUUAGCAGUACAACUUAAAAUUAGGACCCUGGAAAGCCACAGGAUUAGAAAAAUAAAAAUAAGAUGGUGGUAUUUUAAAAACAAGUCAAUCACAUACGAAAGGAAUAUGAGGAAAGAGGAUACAGAAUAGCAGAGGAAACUUAUUUUUAGUAGUAUGCCCUUUAAAUGUACCUCCCUCUCGCCUUACCUGGAGAAGGAGCCAGGUUCCAAUAAAAAGCUUUUUUGAAAAAUAUUUUUGAAGUUUCCUCUAACAAGACUUUGAGGGGGGGGAUUUUUUUUUUUUUUUUUUUUUUUGCUAACUCAGAUUUCUUCAGUUCCCACGUUAAAUUUUAUCUCCUUAGAAAGGCAUCCCUGAUGUUCCAAACUAAGGCUCCACUAACUUUUUCUAUAAAGGGAUAGAGCAUAGAUAUUUUACUUGUAAAAUGUGCUUUGCCAAUCUUCUAUGGUCUCUGUCACAUCAUAUUAUUAUUCCUAAGUUUACAACCCUUUACGAAUGCAAAAAAAAAUUAAAAAAAAAAUAGGUCACAGGUUUGUAGGCCAUAGUUUGUUGGUUCCUGUUCCAAAUUUCAGUUGCCCCUCAUAGUCUUUUGGCAGUGUACCAUUGCUUUUCCUUUGUAUCGCAUGUCUCUAGUUGAUAUUGUAUAUUUAUUUGUUUGAUAUUUGCCAAACUCCUGUGACUGUAAACUCCUGGAGGAAGGGACCAUGCUGAUUUUGCUUGAGCAGAGUUCGCCACUGUUUCUCUAGCACAGAGGUGUACACGUAGUAGGUAUUCCAUUAAUAUUUGUCCAACACAUAAAAUAAUAUAAAAGUAAUUCCUAUUCACUGUAAGAAAAUCUGAAGAAUAUCCCCCAAAACGUAUAAAAGGUAAAGCAAAAAUCUAUUCAUCAUACCACCACUCAGAGGCAGCUGUUAGCAGCCUUCAUUUUUGUAUUUGUAUUCGUAUGUGUAUAACUACAUACUGUAUUUACAUGAUAGAAACCUUUUUCUAUUGAAAGCUUCAUAGUCUAGCUUUUCACUUAAUAAACAACUCAGCAAAGAAUAUUUUUUGCAUAUGUCUUUGUUGGUGUUUCUAGUUAUUUGUUCAGAAUGGAUUCCAAGAAAUUGAAUCAUGAGAUCGAAGGAGAUCAACAAGUUUGUGGCUCUUGAGACACAAUGCCAAAUAUCCUUCCAGAGAGCUGGCAGAUAUCAGAAACCUCUUUCCAGCUUUAGAGAUGCUUUUCACACCGACAGAGUAUUUUCUCUCCACACCAGAGGCAGCAGGAUAAGAUGUACUAUCAGACCGCACUGGCUUACCAUGGUGACAUGAAAGCAGAAGCCCUGCGUGGGUGAGCUUCUUUAUUUAGCAAUUAACCAAAGACAAAGAAGACACUUCUAGCCUUUUUCUUGCUUGAAUAUGUAGAAAUUAAAUGCUUUCAUUAUCCUGAGAGGAUUAUGAGCUUCUUUUUCCUGUACCAACUCAAAUAUUUAUUUGACUGUAUGCAUAUGCUUCCCAGGGAUAAAAAUCAGCAUCUUCCAACUAAACCAUCUCCAUUCCAUCUAUGAUAACAUCUCUAAAAAGUAAUUCCUGUCAUUUCCAUUCCAUUUAUUUAUUACUCAACCAAAUAUACCCCCCUUGGAGGGUAAUAUUCUCUUGGACUAGCGUGUGGGGUUCACAGUCCUUCAAAGUGGUAAAUGUGAUAAAUGUUUUAACGUAUAUGGGAAUCCCACAAAGAACUCUCACUUUGGUAUUAAAUCAUGGAGGAACAUCAGGGUAUCCAUUUGCACACCCUAUGAAAUAAGACGCAUUGGGUAAGUCAGUCAGGUGCUUUGUUUAUGUGGCAUCUGGAUGCUUGGAAACUUCUGGAUGAGCAAACACUUUAUUUUGGGUCAAAAAGGUUUGGCUUGAACACGUCAUCUAGUGGAAACUAAUCUAGAAUCACCAUGUUAGACUUUUCUAGUCUUUUAUGGGUCCAGUAAACUCAAGUGAAUGAAUCUUCAGAAGUGGGUUAACUUGUCCAUUCUCUUGGUAGUUGGAACUGUUUCCUAAAUGUCACAUAAGAUAUUCGGAUACAAAUGUGUAGAGGAGAAAUGAAAGGACAAAAAAAUGAGCAAUUUGUUGAUCUCCUGCCAUAUGUAAGAUAGUAUGAUAGGUCACAUGUCUAAUAAUUUCAAUUUGUCAUUCCAACCUUGUGAGGGAGGUACUAAUGGCUUCAUUUAACAGAUGAAGAAACUGAGGUUAAGAGAUUUCCUCUCUGACCACAAUUAUUAAAGUGUAAGUAAACUUUCCCAAUAUCUGAUGAAAGAACCUAGGAUUAUAGUUGAGUGAGUCACCAAUGCCCCAAACGAUGACAUAGCCCAUGAGGGAAGACACACCAAUGCUCUUCAAGGACAGCAGGGCGGGUGAGGCAUUUGUCACUCUGCCUGACGAUGCAACAUUCUCACUCGCCCUGGCCCCUCAGCUCAGGGCAAGCCACAGCACAGCAGAAGAGUAAAACCACCCCUCCUGGAAGUUCUAGAUUCUGAAUGUGUCUAAUAGGCCCAGAGGUGAGGGUCUAUAGGCAGAUCGGAGAGUCUGAGAGACGGAAGCCCCUUGCUUCAGCAACAUUGUGUAAGGACAGAGCCUUAAAUCAGGAAGAGGUUCUCUCUUCAACUAUAUACGGGAGAAACUGAAGACUUUGCCUGGCAGCCUAGAGACCUUAUCAUCACAGGAGAUGAACAGCCAAGAUGAAACCAUGAGACAGCAUUCUGGGCCAAGCAGUGAGCAAUGAGGAGACCCAGACCUCAGGGUCCUGGCUGUGUCUUUGGUGAGUAGAGACAUAUCCACAGCCACAGUGGAAGCAGCUGCAACAGAAAGGAUUUAAGACAUCAGGGAGGUUUCUGGCUGGGGCUUACCCUAGCCUUGGGGCAAAGGAGUAUCUGUCACUUUCCUUAAUCUUCUCUCAAGCCAAAAAGAAGAGACAUUAAGAAAGAUUCCCUGAGGAUACUGCAAGAACACUGAAAUUGCCUUGUUUGCAUACCACUACACUAGAGAUGUUUCACAAAAGCCACUUCCCUUUUGGUACCUCCUAUCCAGAAUGACUCCAGGUAAGACGGGUGAGAGGAGGUGCCAUCUGGGCCAGUGGAGGUAUGACACCUCUGAUAGCUCUCCUGGGCACUGUGGGCAUAUCAAAUAGGAUCAUAACCCAAUGAGGCUCAGUGAUGCCUCUGCCAUUUCACUUAAGACCAAGUUGUGGUCAUUUCUAGAGAGUGGAAUAUUGUGUCUGAUGAGAUAUAGGAGUAGUCCAGGGGUCUCACAAGAGGGCAAAAGCAGAAGCCAACAGGGCCCAGGCAGGUUAUACAAAUGGGUGAUACUUCCAGGCAUCCCUAAUAGGGAGUGUGGUGACUGAGGAAUACAUGUCCAUCUAAAGGGAGCAGCCACCACCUAACUUCAGCCAACUGCUACGUUACAGAAGAUAGACCCUAUUCCUACGGUUUCAAAAAGAACCAGAAAUCUAGAUUGCUAAAUAAAAUCUCUGAGUUUUAAAACACUACUAGCCAAACAGUAGUCUCACCUACUAUUUGAGAACCCUGUGUGACAGAGAUUUGUGCAGGCUUGAAUAGUAUGUUUAGAAAAUGAGUAUUCACAUUAAAAAAAAAAAUAGGCAACUCCGGGGUCAAAUCUCUUAAUCCUAUGACAGUUACUGUUAAUCUGCUAUUGACCCUUUUAUCAAGUAUUGAGCAACCCCUGGAUACUGAUGUCCUAUGCUCUCUCCCACUUCAGAGUCUUCACACUGCUCUUUCCUCUAUCUAGAAUGUUCUUUGUUCACAUCUUUGCAUGGCUGGCUCCUUCUCAUAUUUCAGGCAAAAUCUUAAAGAGGCCUUCACUGACCAUCCAUCCUCAACAGCCUCUUCCUCCAACAGGUGGAAUCGUAAAGACCAGUUAGCAGGCCACCACGUGUGUUUCAAGUGAAUGACACUGAUGACUUGGACCAGGACAAGACUUCCCUUUCUAGGACCCACAGAGAGGUGAGGCAGAGAGAACAAGGCAAGGACAAAACUUCUUUGGACUAUUUUCUGCACAUCCCCAGCAGAGAUUGAUGAAUGCCUCUGAGUCAGCAAAAUCUCCAGUGGUGAAAUAGAAAGCGUACACUCCGCACAUUCAGGCAGCCCAGGCCAGCCCACACGGAGAAGAGGAUGUUCACAUCCAGCCUGUUCAGUGGACCCCAUGGGGCAUGUCAAAGGCUAUUACAUUUCCAGGACCUUCUAUCACACCCCCUUUCUUCCAUCCCUGCUAAUAUUUGUGACUUUCCAGCUUUCUUCUCUGAAAUUAAAAUAAAUCCUUUGCAAAGUGAAAUCAGUUCAUCUGAGCUAGUGCUGGUUAAGAUUUACAAAAUAAAGAGGAAGUUUACACCCACCGGCCUCAAAGAGUCAUUUUAGCCGGCAGUCAUUAGCUCCACCAAGGACCCUAGUGUUCUCUGUCUGAUAGCGUUGCUGGUGGAAAGGAUGCGGGAAAUUCUUUGUGCUCUGUUGCUCUGCUCCAUACUCAGUGACGGAUCAUCUCUUGGGCCCCUGACACAAAGGAUGGCAAUGUCACCACUCAGCUCUCUGGCAGCCUAUUCUAGGCUGACAGUCUAGCCUCAGGGAUCACUGCAGACCCCUGCAGUUUCCCCUUCCAGUGAAAUCAGCACCCAGCCUUUUACACCCGCUAGCUAGGACACAAACAACAUCCCUCUCUCACCUACGGAGAUGGGCUGGUACUGACUCCAGCACCCUGAGAGAGGCCAAUGCCUACUUCACACUUGCAUCUUAUUGAAGUCAUGCAUUUUGCAUAAAAGUUGUUUAAGGUUUUAUGUGUAAUGCAUACCUGGAAACGUCUUCCAGGGAUGGGACAGCAAGGUAAAGGAGAAGCAACAGACUUUGAAGUCAGAUAUAACUGGACUUUUCAAAUCCUAGAUCUGUCACUGACUAGUUUCUACAAGUUACUUUACCCUCUUAGAGUCUAGGUUUUCUCAUCUGUUAAACAGUGAAAAUGAUGUUUGCCUUGCAGGUCAUUAUAAAGGUUAGAAAUGGUAUAAGAUAAGAUACCUAGUACAAAAUGGAUGCAAAGAAAGAGCUUAUCAAAUUGUAGCUCUUGGUAGUGGUGGUAGUGGUAUAAUUAUUAUAAUUUGCUUUUAAAUUAGUAAAAAAGUAACACGGUAUACAAGACAGUGUGAAAUAAUUGAUUUAUUCAUAUCAAUUUAUUUUGCUUUCUAUGAAGAAGUCUGUAUGGGAGAAAAUAAGCCUUUCAACUUCAUUAAUAUAAAGGAAGCCAUAGUGACAAUGAGUGGCAACACGGGAUAGGAAAAUCACAUUAGGAACUGGAGUCCAGCACUCAUCCUUUAAGGUCUCUGAGCAACACUGCCCUCAUUGCAUAAAUACAGACUAUCACUCUGCUCAUCUCACAGAGUCAUUUAAAGAUCAAAUAGGAGUGAUUAGGAAAACCACUGAAAAUCUAUAAAGCACUGUACAAGAUUUUUUAACGCAGUUCCAUUUUUCCAUGCUACCCAAGAUAUGUGCAAAUAUUCCAAACAUCAUCACAAAUACAUGAAGGAAGCCACGCGGGGAUAGUUCCUACUUUUUAUAUAGUAUGAUAAGCAAAAACCCUGACAUCUCAGCAGCUCCUACUCAUACACAGCCUUUGCAUAAACUACCUGGUUCUCUACUCUGGCUGCACAAUAGUAUCACUAGGGAGCUAUUAAAAAAUGCAUAUGCCCAUGACUCAUCCAUAGACAUUCUGGCUUAAUUAUUCUAGAGCAAAGUCUGUAGUUUUUGUCAGCAGCUCCUCAGGUGACUCUAUUGGGCAGUCAGGAUUAAGGACAUUAAUCUAGUGCAGUGGUUGUCAACUGGAAGUGAUUUUGCCCCCCAGGGGACAUUUAGUAAUAUCUGGAGACAUUUUCGGUUGUCACAGCUAGGAACAGGGUGCUACAGGCAUCUAGUGAGUAGAGGCCAGGGAUGCUGCUAAGCAUCCUACAACGCAAAGGAUAGCCCCUCAGAACAUGGAAUUGACCGGCCCAACAUGUCAAUAGAGCAUGACUGAGAGGGGCCACACAGAGGACUCAUUCUAAAGAAAGUCAGUAACUGACCAUAGUGCACAAAAAUAGCUCAGCAAAAUUUCUGGUCUCACAUGCUCUCCAGAACCUUGUCAUUUCCUCCAUUAGAAGAUGGAGUCUAUUUCUUCUCUUCUUGAAAUUGAAUUGGUCUUUAUUACUAUCUCAACAAAUAGAAUUCAAGGAAAUAACAUGCUUGACUUCUGAGGCAAAGUCACGAAAGGCUUCUGCUUGUCUUUCUCUCUCAAGAUCUCUUUCCAAGAUCUGCCCCUUUGGAAACCCUAAGCCAACAGGUUAAAAAACAAUCCAGCUACCCUGGAGCUGCCAUGUUAGAAAGAUCACAUUUAGAGAUCAUAUGGAGAUGGAGAGAGAUGUUCAAAAGAAGCCCCAGCCAUCUGUGUCUUCCAGUCUGGGUACCAGAUAUUUGUGUGUGUGAGCCCUCCGAUGAUUCUAGCCCCCACCUUCCAGCUGCCCCAGGCAAUGUCAAGUUGGACAGGGGCCAGGUGUCUGCCCAGACUGCAGAUUUAUAAGCAAAGUAAAUGGCAUGGUGGUUUUGGUUCUAUGGGGAAUAUAUGUGUGUUUGCUUGUUUGAUAUCCAAUAAUAGAUAACCAGAAUAAACUCUCUCAUGAUUCUAUAAAAGAUCCAUCUCUAAACCCUCUUCAUUGGGCCACCAA